GGCCGGUCCGCGGCCUCCGACCCACCUGUACCGCUCUUCUGGACACCUCCGCCCCCCUUCAAAAGUUUGGACCAUUUCAUCGCUCUUCUAGUGAGUAUCACCAGGUUCCCCUCCUCUCUUGAUGGGGGUCAGGAUCCGGCCUCACCCCUGCCACACACUUUCUCACAACUGCCUUGAAGAGCAGCAUGGCCUUGGCUCUGAUGCCCCCGCAGGAAACCCAGGCCACAGGACAUGUGCACUUGGGCUUGAGCGUGAUGGCAGUACCCCUGGCAGGUGUAUUGGGGCCAGAUGACACGGGAGGACGGGCAUCCUGUGUGGGGGCAAGCGAGCAGGAGCCGGAAGGGGCUCAGUCAUUGCCCGGUGUGCGGACUGUGCUCAGCAAACCCCGGGCCUCUUGUUCCCAUCCUAGCCUCCCAGGCUCAGGUGCCUCACACGCGAUUUCCUCCGAGAGCAGGUUGUGAGUGCCCCGCAGGAAGUCACCCCAGACCCUUCAGUGACGUCCUCUGCAGAAGAAAAACAGGUUUUGGAAGAGGGCAGGUCCACUGAGCAGGGAGCCCUGCAAUUAUAGCCUGAGAAUGGCGUUUCCAGUUCUUCCAGCACAGACGUGGAAUGCAGCUGUUCUGUGGGCUCUGGCCAUCGGAGAAACUCACGAUUUGUUUUCAGAGAUCAUUUUGAGGGAGUGUUCCUUGUAAGCAAGUUUUAUUUUGUAACAAGAUUAAACGCACAUUUUAAAGAACAAAAACUGUGAUACAACCUAAUCUUACAAAACGCUCAGGGACGCUGCGGGAGGGGAGGCGCAGGAAGCACCCCGUCCCCAGGAAGCCAAGAAACCGGAGGUCCUGCCUCCACCUGCUCCACUGGACAGACGGACGAACAGACAGUCUCAGGAAGAGUGGGAGGGUACCAGGCUGGGACAGGCACACACUGUCGCUCGUCCCCAGCCUUCCUUCUCCUGUCCUCCCUUCUGUGCUAGAACCCCGUUUUUGUGCCCACGGCGCAGGCCUCUGUGACAAAGAACCACAGCCUGGCCGCUAGACAGCACCCGUGCUCACAUAGGCUUGGAGCCUGCAGGUCCGAGGGCUGGUUCCCAAUGCACCAUUCUCCUGGGUGCGUGGACACUGUCUCCUGCCCGCGUCCUCACGUGCUUCCUCUGUGCCUCCUGACCUCCUCUUAUUAGGACACCAGUCAUGUGGGAUCAGGGCUACCGACUGACCUCGUUUUACCCUCACUUCUUUAAAGGCUGGAUCUCCAAACGCAGUCACAUUCAAAAAUACUUCUGCUGGAAAAUGAAAGCACUGACAACUCUGGGACUUCAGGGGCGCCUGGGGGGCUCAGGUGGGUGUCCGACUUCGGCUCAAGUCAUGGUCACAUGGUUCGUGAGUUCAAGCCCCGCGUGAGACUCUGUGCUGACAGCUCGGAGCCCGGAACUGCUUCGGAUUCUGUGUCUCCCCCUCUCUCUCUCUGCCCCCAUUCAUGGUCUGACUCUCAAAUAUGAAUAAACGUUAAAAAUAAUUUUUUUUUUAAAUAAAGACAUGUUUAUUUACAUUUUAUAAGGGGUCAAAUCUAAAGUAUAAUAGGGGCGCCUGGGUGGCUCACUAGGUUAAGCAUCUGACUUUAGCUCAGGUAUUAAUCUCAUACUCCAUGAGUUUGAUCCCCACGUCAGGCUCUGUGCUGACAGCUCAGAGCCUGGAGCCUGCUUGGGAUUCUGUGUCUCCCUCUCUCUGCCCCUCCCCUGCUCAUGCUUUGUCUCUCUCUGUCUCAAAAGUAAAUAAAAACAUUAAAAAAAAAAAAAAAACUAGAAAACAA